rnacentral:rRNA from 1 species
GACGAACGCUGGCGGCGUGCUUAACACAUGCAAGUCGAACGCUGAAGCUCAGCUUGCUGGGUGGAUGAGUGGCGAACGGGUGAGUAACACGUGAGUAACCUGCCCUCUUCUUUGGGAUAACGCCCGGAAACGGGUGCUAAUACUGGAUAUUCACUGAUUCUCGCAUGGGGGUUGGUGGAAAGGUUUUUUCUGGUGUGGGAUGGGCUCGCGGCCUAUCAGCUUGUUGGUGGGGUGAUGGCCUACCAAGGCUUUGACGGGUAGCCGGCCUGAGAGGGUGACCGGUCACAUUAGGAAUGAGAUACAGCCCAGACUCCUACGGGAGGCAGCAGUGGGGAAUAUUGCACAAUGGGCGAAAGCCUGAAGCAGCGACGCCGCGUGAGGGAUGGAGGCCUUCGGGUUGUAAACCUCUUUCGCUCAUGGUCAAGCCGCAGCUUUGGGUUGUGGUGAGGGUAGUGGGUAAAGAAGCGCCGGCUAACUACGUG